GGGGAAUUUUGGACAAUGGGGGAAACCCUGAUCCAGCCAUCCCGCGUGUAUGAUGAAGGCCUUCGGGUUGUAAAGUACUUUUGGCAGAGAAGAAAAGGUAUCUCCUAAUACGAGAUACUGCUGACGGUAUCUGCAGAAUAAGCACCGGCUAACUACGUGCCAGCAGCCGCGGUAAUACGUAGGGUGCAAGCGUUAAUCGGAAUUACUGGGCGUAAAGCGUGUGUAGGCGGUUCGGAAAGAAAGAUGUGAAAUCCCAGGGCUCAACCUUGGAACUGCAUUUUUAACUGCCGAGCUAGAGUAUGUCAGAGGGGGGUAGAAUUCCACGUGUAGCAGUGAAAUGCGUAGAUAUGUGGAGGAAUACCGAUGGCGAAGGCAGCCCCCUGGGAUAAUACUGACGCUCAGACACGAAAGCGUGGGGAGCAAAC
rnacentral:rRNA from 1 species